CCUACGGGAGGCAGCAGUGAGGAAUAUUGGUCAAUGGACGAGAGUCUGAACCAGCCAAGUAGCGUGAAGGAUGACUGCCCUAUGGGUUGUAAACUUCUUUUAUAUGGGAAUAAAAUGUUCCACGUGUGGGCUUUUGUAUGUACCCUAUGAAUAAGGAUCGGCUAACUCCGUUCCAGCAGCCGCGGUAAUCCGGAGGAUCCGGGCGUUAUCCGGAUUUAUUGGGUUUAAAGGGAGCGUAGGUGGUUUGUUAAGUCAGUUGUGAAAGUUUGCGGCUCAACCGUAAAAUUGCAGUUGAAACUGGCAGUCUUGAGUACAGUAGAGGUGGGCGGAAUUCGUGGUGUAGCGGUGAAAUGCUUAGAUAUCACGAAGAACCCCGAUUGCGAAGGCAGCUCACUGGACUGCAACUGACACUGAGGCUCGAAAGUGUGGGUAUCAAACAGGAUUAGAUACCCUUGGAGUC
rnacentral:rRNA from 1 species